rnacentral:rRNA from 1 species
UGGGGAAUUUUGGACAAUGGGCGAAAGCCUGAUCCAGCAAUGCCGCGUGUGUGAAGAAGGCCUUCGGGUUGUAAAGCACUUUUGUCCGGAAAGAAAUCCUUGGCUCUAAUACAGUCGGGGGAUGACGGUACCGGAAGAAUAAGCACCGGCUAACUACGUGCCAGCAGCCGCGGUAAUACGUAGGGUGCAAGCGUUAAUCGGAAUUACUGGGCGUAAAGCGUGCGCAGGCGGUUUGCUAAGACCGAUGUGAAAUCCCCGGGCUCAACCUGGGAACUGCAUUGGUGACUGGCAGGCUAGAGUAUGGCAGAGGGGGGUAGAAUUCCACGUGUAGCAGUGAAAUGCGUAGAGAUGUGGAGGAAUACCGAUGGCGAAGGCAGCCCCCCUGGGCCAAUACUGACGCUCAUGCACGAAAAGCGUGGGGGAGCAAAACAGGAUUAGAUACCCUGGUAGUCCACGCCCUAAAACGAUGUCAACUAGUUGUUGGGGAUUCAUUUCCUUAGUAACGUAGCUAACGCGUGAAGUUGACCGCCUGGGGAGUACGGUCGCAAGAUUAAAACUCAAAUGAAUUGACGGGGUCAUAGCUGUUUCCU